UACGAAGGGUGCAAACGUUGCUCGGAAUUACUGGGCGUAAAGCGUGUGCAGGCGGUUGUGCAAGACAGAUGUGAAAUCCCCGGGCUUAACCUGGGAACUGCAUUUGUGACUGCACGGCUAGAGUGUGUCAGAGGGGGGUAGAAUUCCGCGUGUAGCAGUGAAAUGCGUAGAUAUGCGGAGGAACACCGAUGGCGAAGGCAAUCCCCUGGGCCUGCACUGACGCUCAUGCACGAAAGCGUGGGGAGCAAACAGG
rnacentral:rRNA from 1 species